UACGUAGGUGGCAAGCGAUACUCGGAAUCACUAGGCGUAAAGCGCAUGUAGGCGGUUUGGUAAGUCUUUUGUGAAAGCUCCCGGCUUAACUGGGAGAGGUCAAGGGAAACUACCGGACUAGAGUGUGGUAGGGGAUACUGGAAUUCCUGGUGUAGCGGUGAAAUGCGUAGAUAUCAGGAGGAAUACCUAUGGCGAAAGCAGGUAUCUGGGCCAUCACUGACGCUGAGCUGCGAAAGCUAGGGGAGCAAACAGG
rnacentral:rRNA from 1 species